AAUCUGUGUAUUGGGUAUUUGCGUAACAAUUACUUAAAAUGCUCCCAAUCUUCUUACAAACUUUCAUCAUCUAACUGCUUAAAGGAAGUGAGGUCAUUCCUAAGUCU